rnacentral:misc_RNA from 1 species
GUACGAACUGGGAAGGACCUUAGGUGAGGGCACUUUCGCUAAGGUCAAGUUUGCCAAGAAUGUCGACACUGGCGAUUGCGUCGCCAUUAAAAUCCUUGAUCGUGAGCAAGUCCUUCGUCUGAAGAUGGUCGAACAGUUGAAAAGAGAAAUAUCAACAAUGAAGCUGAUCAAACAUCCGAAUGUCAUCAAAAUCUAUGAGGUUAUGGCCAGCAAAACAAAGAUUUACAUUGUUCUUGAGUUUGUUGAUGGAGGGGAGCUUUUUGACAAAAUUGCAAGGUACGGGAGACUUAAAGAGGAUGAAGCCAGGAGAUAUUUCCACCAGCUUAUCAAUGCUGUUGAUUACUGUCACAGUAGAGGAGUGUCGCAUAGAGAUUUGAAGCCUGAGAACCUUCUUCUUGAUUCACUUGGCGUUCUUAAAGUUUCAGAUUUUGGACUGAGUGCAGUAUUGUCGAAGCAAAUACGGGGGGAUGGACUGCUUCACACUGCCUGCGGAACCCCAAAUUAUGUUGCCCCUGAGGUUCUCAAAGACAAAGGUUAUGAUGGUACAGGCUCUGAUGUUUGGUC